rnacentral:rRNA from 1 species
AACGAACGCUGGCGGCAUGCCUAACACAUGCAAGUCGAACGAGACCUUCGGGUCUAGUGGCGCACGGGUGCGUAACGCGUGGGAACCUGCCCUUAGGUUCGGAAUAACUCCCCGAAAGGGGUGCUAAUACCGGAUAAUGUCUUCGAACCAAAGAUUUAUCGCCUUUGGAUGGGCCCGCGUUGGAUUUGCUAGUUGGUAAGGUAAAAGCCUACCAAGGCGACGAUCCAUAGCUGGUCUGAGAGGAUGAUCAGCCACACUGGGACUGAGACACGGCCCAGACUCCUACGGGAGGCAGCAGUGGGGAAUAUUGGACAAUGGGCGAAAGCCUGAUCCAGCAAUGCCGCGUGAGUGAUGAAGGCCUUAGGGUUGUAAAGCUCUUUUACCCGGGAUGAUAAUGACAGUACCGGGAGAAUAAGCUCCGGCUAACUCCGUG